ACACACUUCACACUUAAGAAACACUAACACUUAAACAUCACAUUUCACACUGCACGCUUUCACACAUAAACACUUAAACACCUAAACACUUAACACCUUAACACCUAACUUCACAUGCUUCACACGCUUCACACACCUGACACUCCACACUUCACACUUAAGAAACACUAACACUUAAACAUCACACUUCACACUGCACAUUUUUACACGUAAACACCUAAACACUUAACACCUUAACACAUAAACACCUAACAUAACACUUCACACACUUCACAAACUUCACACUCUUCACACUUCACACACUUCACACUCUCCACAACACCUAAACACCUAACAUAACACUUCACACACUUCACACUCUUCACAACACCUAACUUCACACUUCACACUCUUCAUACUUCACACUUCACACACUUCACACUACACUUCACACACACGUCAAACGUCACACCUUUCGCACCUCACUUCACACACCUCACACUACACUUCACACACACGUCAAACGUCACACCUUUCGCACCUCACACCUCACACCUCACACCUCACACCUCACACCUCACACCUCACACCUCACACCUCACACUCUUCAUACUCUUCACUACGCCGAACUUCAUACUUCAUACUUCACACACUUCACACUUCACACACUUCACAGACUUAACACUCUUCACACACUUCACACACUUCACACACACUCCACACUUCACACACUUGAACACUUCACACAUUUCACACAGCCCACUUCACACAGCACACUUCACACUUCACACUUUUCACAUACUUCACAACAAGCGCUGAACAAAAUACUUACAAAACAAUUCAAAAACACUUCCCAAGGACUUAACAAACAAUAACACUUAAAUAAACACUUAAAAAGCACACUUCACUCUUUACACCAAAACACCCCAACACACAAAAACUUAACCACUUCACCCUUCAUACUACACACUUCACACUUAAAAACAAAUACUUAAGCAUUUCAUACUUAAAUAAAUACUUUAACAUUUAACAGCUGAACACAAACACACUAACACUUCACACUUAAACACUUAAUAGCUUAACACAAACACCUUAACACCUAAAUACACAAACACACAAACACUUCACAAGUAAAUAAACACUUCACAAACAAUUACACUUAAUUAACACUUACAAAACACUUCACCAACAGUUAACAAACACUAACACUUAAAAAUUACACUUCAUACUUAAAAAAAACACUUUAACACUUUAACACUUUAAGGCUUAAACACACACUUUAACACUUAACACUUAAGCACACACUUUAGCACUUCACACUUAACACAUAAACACACACUUUAACACUUAACACUUCAACACCUUAACACCUAAAUACCUAAACACCCAAACACCCCAACACUAUUUGAUUUUGGAUGUACUAUUCCUAGAGAACUUACAUUUAUAUUAUAAU
rnacentral:lncRNA from 1 species